rnacentral:lncRNA from 1 species
CUGUGUUUUUUUGUGAAUAGCAUAAGACUAAUAACAAAGAUGCAAGUGUAAGUCGAUAAAAUGACAGUGUUCUCAUUCUGAUAGUUCUCGGCUCACAACAUUACAGAAGAUAAAUCCAGUUAUUUCAUUGAAAAUUGUUAUGGAAAUAACGUAUAAUUUUACAUUUUUAUAUAGCUUGAGGCAAUUAAAAAUGUUCAAUUAAUGUCAGAAAAAUGACAAUUAGUUAGAAAAUAUAAAACACGAAAAUCUACGUGUGUCAUGCAUCAAGAUUGGCU